UACGUAGGGUGCGAGCGUUGUCCGGAAUUAUUGGGCGUAAAGAGCUCGUAGGCGGUCUGUCGCGUCGGUCGUGAAAACUUGGGGCUUAACCCUGAGCUUGCGGUCGAUACGGGCAUGACUGGAGUUCGGUAGGGGAGACUGGAAUUCCUGGUGUAGCGGUGAAAUGCGCAGAUAUCAGGAGGAACACCGGUGGCGAAGGCGGGUCUCUGGGCCGAUACUGACGCUGAGGGGCGAAAGCGUGGGGAGCGAACAGG
rnacentral:rRNA from 1 species